GACGAACGCUGGCGGCGUGCUUAACACAUGCAAGUCGAACGGAAAGGCCUCUUUCGGGGGGUACUCGAGUGGCGAACGGGUGAGUAACACGUGAGUAACCUGCCAUUGACUUUGGGAUAACUUCAGAAAACUGGGGCUAAUACCGGAUAGGAGCUCCUGCCGCAUGGUGGGGGUUGGAAAGUUUCGGCGGUUGGGGAUGGACUCGCGGCUUAUCCGCUUGUUGGUGGGGUAGUGGCUUACCAAGGCUUUGACGGGUAGCCGGCCUGAGAGGGUGACCGGCCACAUUGGGACUGAGAGACGGCCCAGACUCCGACGGGAGGCAGCAGGGGGGAAUAUUGCACAAGGGGUGGAAGCCUGAUGCAGCAACGCCGUGUGCGGGAUGACGGCCUUAGGGUUGUAAACCGAUUUCGCUCAUGACGAAGCUUUGUGUGACGGUAGUGGGUAAAGAAGCACCGGCUAACUACGUG
rnacentral:rRNA from 1 species